rnacentral:rRNA from 1 species
CCUACGGGUGGCAGCAGUGGGGAAUAUUGGACAAUGGGGGAAACCCUGAUCCAGCGACGCCGCGUGAGUGAAGAAGUAUUUCGGUACGUAAAGCCCUAUCAGCAGGAAAGAAAAUGACGGUACCUGACUAAGAAGCCCCGGCUAACUACGUGCCAGCAGCCGCGGUAACACGUAGGGGGCAAGCGUUAUCCGGAUUUACUGGGUGUAAAGGGGGCGUAGACGGCAGCGCAAGUCUGGAGUGAAAUGCCGGGGCCCAACCCCGGAACUGCUCUGGAAACUGGGAAGCUGGAGUGCAGGAGAGGUAAGCGGAAUGCCUGGUGUAGCGGUGAAAUGCAUAGAUAUCAGGAGGAACACCGACGGCGAAGGCAGCUUACUGGACUGUAACUGACGUUGAGGCUCGAAGGCGUGGGGAGCGAACAGGAUUAGAUACCCUGGUAGUC